rnacentral:rRNA from 1 species
GAUGAACGCUGGCGGCGUGCCUAAUACAUGCAAGUCGAGCGAACAGACGAGGAGCUUGCUCCUCUGACGUUAGCGGCGGACGGGUGAGUAACACGUGGAUAACCUACCUAUAAGACUGGGAUAACUUCGGGAAACCGGAGCUAAUACCGGAUAAUAUAUUGAACCGCAUGGUUCAAUAGUGAAAGACGGUUUUGCUGUCACUUAUAGAUGGAUCCGCGCCGCAUUAGCUAGUUGGUAAGGUAACGGCUUACCAAGGCAACGAUGCGUAGCCGACCUGAGAGGGUGAUCGGCCACACUGGAACGUGGACACGGUCCAGACUCCUACGGGAGGCAGCAGUAGGGAAUCUGCCGCAAUGGGCGAAAGCCUGACGGAGCAACGCCGCGUGAGUGAUGAAGGUCUUCGGAUCGUAAAACUCUGUUAUGAGGGAAGAACAAAUGUGUAAGUAACUAUGCACGGCUUGACGGUACCUAAUCAGAAAGCCACGGCUAACUACGUG